rnacentral:lncRNA from 1 species
ACCUGUCUGAAACACAGCUGGCUUCCACUGUUCCGUCAGUACUGAAUCCUUUCUGUGAUGUGCAAGUAAGUUUUGCUACACUUCCAUUAUUCUCUGGAAAUUACACUUGUAUUUCACUCAGAACAUUUUCUUUUGUACUGAAAAACCUCACACCAGAAGAUAUAUCGAAGAUGUCAGAAAGUUACUGAAACUACCUGACCAAGACGCCCAGUCUCCAAACGAGGGGCAGGCACGGUGUGCACUCUUGGAGCUGAAGAUAACGUUAUUGCAAAAUACAUCACUUAAUUCAGCCUACGAGGCAGAUAUUCGUCCUACCUUAGGGGUUGUAACCACCUUUUCACAGCACGAUGGUCCGCCCGUGCCCUUCCCGCACAACUCCGGGCGGGCGGGUGCCCCACCGCGCUGACAGCCCCCCGGCUGUGGGGCGCGGAGCUCUCCCGCCCAAGCGCCGCUUCCAAGCAGCCCAUCCCGCGCCGUCCGCUCGGCGCUCCAGGCCGCUCUCGAAGACCGCCCCACCUCCCGGCUCCUGGACCGCGCAGCCCCUCCAGGCCGCGGCCAACGCUCCUGCCCGCCGCGCUGUUCCCGAGCGGCGCCCCCGCCCGCCGCGGGCUGUUCCGCUGCUACGCCCCCUCCCCCCGUCGCAGAGCUCCGGACCCAAGAUGGCCGCCGUGUCAGUUUCGGGCUUCGCCGCCGUUCGGCCUUUGCUUCUUGGUUCCCGUCUCUCGCAGUCUUCGGUGUAAUGUUACAGUUCUUCUAAUUGUGAGUGUGCAAACCAGAAGCUGAGUGUGACGACACUAAAUGUUUGCAAAAGAAGUAAUUCAGAACAGAAAACGUGUAUGCUAUGGUUAGCUGUUUCCCAUCAUCCGAGAAUCUGUUUUCUCAUUGUGUGAAACUUGUUCAGCAUCAGGAUAAAGGAUAACGACUCUAUGGAUAUACAGAAGUCUUCACCAUGGUAAAACUCGCCAACCCCCUGUAUACGGAGUGGAUUUUGGAGGCAAUCAAAAAGGUAAAGAAGCAAAAACAGCGUCCUUCAGAAGAGAGGAUAUGCAAUGCAGUGUCUUCAUCACAUGGCUUGGAUCGCAAAACUGUUCUGGAACAGUUAGAGUUGAGCGUUAAAGAUGGAACUAUUUUAAAAGUCUCCAACAAGGGUCUCAACUCCUAUAAGGAUCCCGAUAAUCCUGGGAGAAUAGCACUUCCAAAGCCUCGGAACCAUGGAAAGUUGGAUGGUAAACCAAAUGUGGACUGGAAUAAACUUAUCAAACGGGCAAUUGAGGGCUUAGGUGAGUCUAGUGGCUCAUCCUUGAAGAACAUCGAGCGUUUUCUCAAAGGUCAGAAGGAUGUGUCUGCAUUAUUUGGAGGUAGUGCUGCCUCCAUUUUUCACCAGCAACUACGAUUAGCUGUCAAACGUGCAGUUGGCCAUGGCAGGCUCCUUAAAGACGGACCUCUGUACCAACUCAACACUAAAGCAACCACUAAUGCUGAUGGGAAGGAGAGUUUUGAGUCUCUUUCCUGUCUGCCUCCAGUGUGUCUCCUUCCCCAUGAAAAGGAUAAGGUAAGACCCAAUUUACGUAGGCAUUUUUGUGUAAUUGGUGAAACGUGUCAUUACACAGUCACAGUUUGAGGUCGAUUUGUUUAACUUCUAUCUGGUAAGAUACAAAUGGC